GGAAGCGGAAACUCCUUGGGGAAACGGCAAUCCCCCGAGCCGGUUCCCAGGCCGGGUGGAGACCAACUCUGGGGUCUCUUGGUGGGAGAGUGGGGAGCCCGUCUUCUGCUGAGUGCUGCCGCCCCUUCCCAGGACAGCGGAGGUGGAACUUCGUCGCGCUGCAACCCCCGGCUCGGGAUCCCGGGGCGUCCUUUGGCAGUCGAUUGCACCCUGCACUAGAGAGAAGUCCAGGAAUGAUAUAUUCUUGGGCUGUAUUUCUCUACCCUGGAAUUCAUCCAGUUCAUCCCAGAAACACUGACCUGGUUACUGUGACAAAGUCUGAUGGAUAGACCCUUUCUGUUGACCUUGUGGCGUUUUUCUUUCAUGUGGAAGUUGGAAGACAAGGUGAAAGGGGCCAAAAGUUACCUGCUUUGGUGAAUAGGAGUGCUCUACUUGGUUCUCAGAACAUGGGCCCUCGUUUAAAGCUGCAGCUGUGAUCCUCGGCUGUCUGUUGGCAUUGACGGGACCUGAUGUUUUACGUUAUUGGUGGAAUCACAGUGUCUGUGGUUGCAUUCUUCUUCACAAUUAAGUUCCUCUUUGAGCUUGCCGCACGUGUAGUCAGCUUCCUCCAGAAUGAGGACCGUGAGCGCCGAGGGGACCGGACUAUUUAUGACUACGUGCGGGGAAAUUACCUGGAUCCCCGGUCUUGCAAAGUCUCCUGGGAUUGGAAGGACCCCUAUGAGGUGGGCCACAGCAUGGCCUUCCGAGUGCAUUUAUUCUAUAAGAACGGGCAGCCUUUCCCUGCACAUCGGCCUGUGGGACUAAGAGUUCACAUCUCUCAUGUCGAGCUAGCAGUGGAAAUUCCAGUGACCCAGGAAGUCCUUCAGGAGCCCAAUUCCAACGUAGUAAAAGUGGCCUUCACUGUGCGCAAGGCUGGGCGUUAUGAAAUCACAGUGAAGCUUGGUGGAUUAAAUGUGGCAUAUAGUCCCUACUACAAAAUUUUUCAACCUGGAAUGGUGGUUCCUUCUAAGACCAAAAUUGUGUGCCACUUUUCUACUCUUGUAUUGACCUGUGGGCAGCCGCACACCCUUCAAAUAGUACCCCGAGAUGAGUAUGAUAAUCCCACCAACAAUUCCAUGUCCUUGAGAGAUGAGCACAAUUACACAUUGUCCAUUCAUGAGCUCGGCCCUCAAGAAGAAGAGAGUACUGGUGUCUCAUUUGAGAAAUCAGUAACAUCCAACAGGCAGACUUUCCAGGUGUUCUUGCGACUCACCCUGCAUUCUCGAGGCUGCUUCCAUGCUUGCAUUUCAUACCAAAAUCAGCCAAUCAAUAAUGGUGAAUUUGACAUUAUUGUCCUAAGUGAGGAUGAGAAGAAUAUCGUCGAACGCAAUGUGUCCACUUCAGGCGUGAGCAUUUACUUUGAGGCUUAUCUUUAUAAUGCUACCAACUGUAGCAGCACUCCAUGGCACCUGCCACCCAUGCACAUGACCUCUUCCCAGCGCCGGCCAUCCACUGCUGUUGACGAGGAAGAUGAAGACUCGCCCUCUGAGUGCCACACCCCUGAGAAGGUGAAGAAACCGAAGAAGGUGUACUGCUAUGUGUCACCAAAGCAAUUCUCAGUGAAGGAGUUCUACCUGAAGAUCAUCCCCUGGCGCCUUUACACCUUCCGAGUGUGUCCAGGAACAAAAUUUUCAUACCUUGGUCCUGACCCUGUCCAUAAGCUCCUCACACUGGUGGUGGAUGAUGGCAUUCAACCUCCUGUGGAGCUCAGCUGUAAGGAGAGGAACAUUCUAGCAGCCACUUUCAUCCGCUCCCUGCAUAAGAACAUAGGAGGCUCUGAGACCUUUCAGGACAAGGUGAACUUUUUCCAGCGAGAGCUUCGGCAGGUACAUAUGAAAAGACUACAUUCCAAAGUCACCCUGAAGGUCAGCAGACAUGCCUUGUUGGAAUCGUCUCUGAAAGCCACUCGGAAUUUCUCCAUCUCAGAUUGGAGCAAGAACUUUGAGGUUGUUUUCCAGGAUGAAGAAGCUCUGGACUGGGGAGGGCCUCGCCGGGAAUGGUUUGAGCUAAUCUGCAAAGCACUAUUUGAUACCACCAAUCAGCUCUUCACCCGGUUCAGUGACAACAACCAAGCAUUAGUGCAUCCCAACCCUAAUCGCCCCACUCAUCUGCGCCUGAAAAUGUAUGAGUUUGCGGGACGGCUCGUGGGCAAGUGUCUCUAUGAGUCCUCUCUAGGAGGAGCCUACAAGCAGUUGGUCCGAGCUCGCUUCACCCGCUCUUUCCUGGCCCAAAUCAUAGGACUGCGUAUGCAUUACAAGUACUUUGAAACAGAUGACCCAGAAUUCUACAAAUCUAAAGUUUGUUUUAUCCUCAACAAUGACAUGAGUGAGAUGGAGCUGGUCUUUGCAGAAGAGAAAUAUAAUAAAUCGGGUCAAUUGGAUAAGGUUGUAGAACUCAUGACAGGUGGAGCUCAAACUCCAGUCACCAAUGCGAAUAAAAUCUUCUAUUUAAAUUUGCUGGCCCAAUAUCGGCUGGCCAGUCAAGUGAAAGAGGAGGUGGAACAUUUCCUAAAAGGCCUGAAUGAAUUGGUCCCUGAGAACCUUUUGGCUAUUUUUGAUGAGAAUGAGCUUGAGCUGCUGAUGUGUGGGACUGGAGACAUCAGUGUGUCUGACUUCAAAGCCCAUGCAGUAGUUGUUGGUGGCUCAUGGCAUUUCAGAGAAAAGGUCAUGAGGUGGUUUUGGACUGUGGUUUCCAGUCUGACCCAGGAGGAGUUGGCUCGGCUACUUCAGUUCACAACAGGCUCCUCUCAGCUACCACCUGGAGGCUUUGCCGCCCUCUGUCCCUCAUUUCAGAUUAUUGCCGCUCCGACCCAUAGCACGCUGCCUACUGCACACACAUGAAAUUCAAUAUAGAAAAUUUGGAAAUAAGAAAAAGAUCAAGGGAAAUAGGUAAGUUGCUAUCCAGAGGUAAUCACCGUUAACACUUUGAUAAAUAGCCUUUUGAUUUUCAUAUUUAAGCACACAUUUGUCUCCCAACAUCUCCCUCACCCACAAGGGGUUUGGGAGUGGCAAACAAAAAUACUGCUCCUAAGAAGUUUGUUGGUGGCAAGUCUUACCGAUUCUUUUCAGCUUACAAAGGUAAGCUUGGAAGAGAAGAAAAAAAACAGACCUCUGAUUUGGGCCUAGAAGGAGAAGUAUUAAGGACCCUGACUUUCUUGGGAAAGUAAUUAUGAUGUCUUGUAUAUUGGUUCCCAAUCUGGAAAAUGUUUAAAAAAUUCCCUUUUGAAUUUAAAAACAAAACAAAACAGAUUCUUGCCCCCACCCCAAACAGUGCAUUCUCCUCUUACCUCAUCAAGCUCCUGAGUGAUAUGAGAUAUCUUAAAGGGCCAGGCACAGUGGCUCAUAUGUAUAUUCCCAGCACUUUGGAACACUGCAAGGCAGGAGGGUCACUUGAACCCAGGAGUUCGAGGCUGCAGUGAGCUAUGCCUGUGUCACUGUGCUCUAGCCUGGGUGACAGAGCGAGACACUGUCUCUCUUUCUCUUUUUUUUUGAAAAGGUGGGGUUUUGGCAUGUUUCCCAGGCUGAUCUUGAACUCCUGGGCUCAAAUGAUCCACCCACCU
rnacentral:sRNA from 1 species